rnacentral:rRNA from 1 species
AACGAACGCUGGCGGCAGGCUUAACACAUGCAAGUCGAGCGCCCCGCAAGGGGAGCGGCAGACGGGUGAGUAACGCGUGGGAAUCUACCCAUCUCUACGGAAUAACGCAUGGAAACGGGUGCUAAUACCGUAUACGUCCUUCGGGAGAAAGAUUUAUCGGAGAUGGAUGAGCCCGCGUUGGAUUAGCUAGUUGGUGGGGUAAAGGCCUACCAAGGCGACGAUCCAUAGCUGGUCUGAGAGGCGGAUCAGCCACACUGGGACUGAGACACGCCCCAGACUCCUACGGGAGGCAGCAGUGGGGAAUAUUGGACAAUGGGCGCAAGCCUGAUCCAGCCAUGCCGCGUGAGUGAUGAAGGCCCUAGGGUUGUAAAGCUCUUUCACCGGUGAAGAUAGUGACGGUAACCGGAGAAGAAGCCCCGGCUAACUUCGUGCCAGCAGCCGCCGUAAAAC